rnacentral:rRNA from 1 species
AUGCUCAGGAUGAACGCCGGCGGUGUGCCUAAUACAUGCAAGUCGAACGCGUUGGCCCAAUUGAUUGAUGGUGCUUGCACCUGAUUGAUUUUGGUCGCCAACGAGUGGCGGACGGGUGAGUAACACGUAGGUAACCUGCCCAGAAGCGGGGGACAACAUUUGGAAACAGAUGCUAAUACCGCAUAACARCGUUGUUCGCAUGAACAACGCUUAAAAGAUGGCUUCUCGCUAUCACUUCUGGAUGGACCUGCGGUGCAUUAGCUUGUUGGUGGGGUAAUGGCCUACCAAGGCGAUGAUGCAUAGCCGAGUUGAGAGACUGAUCGGCCACAAUGGGACUGAGACACGGCCCAUACUCCUACGGGAGGCAGCAGUAGGGAAUCUUCCACAAUGGGCGCAAGCCUGAUGGAGCAACACCGCGUGAGUGAAGAAGGGUUUCGGCUCGUAAAGCUCUGUUGUUAAAGAAGAACACGUAUGAGAGUAACUGUUCAUACGUUGACGGUAUUUAACCAGAAAGUCACGGCUAACUACGUGCCAGCAGCCGCGGUAAUACGUAGGUGGCAAGCGUUAUCCGGAUUUAUUGGGCGUAAAGAGAGUGCAGGCGGUUUUCUAAGUCUGAUGUGAAAGCCUUCGGCUUAACCGGAGAAGUGCAUCGGAAACUGGAUAACUUGAGUGCAGAAGAGGGUAGUGGAACUCCAUGUGUAGCGGUGGAAUGCGUAGAUAUAUGGAAGAACACCAGUGGCGAAGGCGGCUACCUGGUCUGCAACUGACGCUGAGACUCGAAAGCAUGGGUAGCGAACAGGAUUAGAUACCCUGGUAGUCCAUGCCGUAAACGAUGAGUGCUAGGUGUUGGAGGGUUUCCGCCCUUCAGUGCCGGAGCUAACGCAUUAAGCACUCCGCCUGGGGAGUACGACCGCAAGGUUGAAACUCAAAGGAAUUGACGGGGGCCCGCACAAGCGGUGGAGCAUGUGGUUUAAUUCGAAGCUACGCGAAGAACCUUACCAGGUCUUGACAUCUUGCGCCAACCCUAGAGAUAGGGCGUUUCCUUCGGGAACGCAAUGACAGGUGGUGCAUGGUCGUCGUCAGCUCGUGUCGUGAGAUGUUGGGUUAAGUCCCGCAACGAGCGCAACCCUUGUUACUAGUUGCCAGCAUUAAGUUGGGCACUCUAGUGAGACUGCCGGUGACAAACCGGAGGAAGGUGGGGACGACGUCAGAUCAUCAUGCCCCUUAUGACCUGGGCUACACACGUGCUACAAUGGACGGUACAACGAGUCGCGAACUCGCGAGGGCAAGCAAAUCUCUUAAAACCGUUCUCAGUUCGGACUGCAGGCUGCAACUCGCCUGCACGAAGUCGGAAUCGCUAGUAAUCGCGGAUCAGCAUGCCGCGGUGAAUACGUUCCCGGGCCUUGUACACACCGCCCGUCACACCAUGAGAGUUUGUAACACCCAAAGUCGGUGGGGUAACCUUUUAGGAGCCAGCCGCC